UGCAUCCAAAUGGUUCCAGAUUUUAUCUUUCCUCUUGAUCUCAGCACGUGGAUAUAAUUAUAUUUGUUUAGUCUACAAAAACUCCCAUUUGAAAAAGUUAAAAGAGUUUUGGAUUUUUUUUCAAUUGAUUCGCUUCGUUCCGUUUGACAUUUUUUAUUUAGUUUUUGUUCUGUUGCUGAAGGAAUGGAGCUGAUUCUUGGAGUCAUAAAUUUUGUACACCUGUAUAUAUUUUUGCAGAUAAUUAAUUUCUGAAGCCAUUUAGGCAUGUGUUAGAUGUCAACUUUUCUUUAGUCAUUUUCACUUCUGUGCUUUUAUGUUAUUGAUGUGAACUAAUUAUUCCAGUUAGGAGCCGCAAAGAUUUUGUUUUCUUAAUUGUCUAGUA
rnacentral:misc_RNA from 1 species